rfam:Salmo salar isolate Sally breed double haploid chromosome ssa19, whole genome shotgun sequence.
AUUAAAAUGUACUGCGACAGUCGCUCUGGAUAAGAGCGUCUGCUAAAUGACUUAAA